rnacentral:rRNA from 1 species
GGAGUUAGCCGGUGCUUCUUCUGUGAGUGAUGUCCUUCCUGCCGGCUAUUAACCCGCAGGCCUUCUUCCUCACUGAAAGUGCUUUACAACCCGAAGGCCUUCUUCACACACGCGGCAUGGCUGGAUCAGGGUUGCCCCCAUUGUCCAAUAUUCCCCACUGCUGCCUCCCGUAGGAGUCUGGGCCGUGUCUCAGUCCCAGUGUGGCUGAUCAUCCUCUCAGACCAGCUACGGAUCGUCGCCUUGGUGAGCCGUUACCUCACCAACCAGCUAAUCCGACAUAGGCUCAUCCGAUAGCGCGAGGCCCGAAGGUCCCCCGCUUUCCCCCGUAGGGCGUAUGCGGUAUUAGCCUGGGUUUCCCCCAGGUUAUCCCCCACUACCCGGGCAGAUUCCUAUGCAUUACUCACCCGUCCGCCGCUCGCCACCAGGGAGCAAGCUCCCCGUGCUGCCGCUCGACUUGCAUGUGUUAGGCCUGCCGCCAGCGUUCAAUCUGAGCCAGUGAUACAAACCUCGUACGA